AGGCGUUGAUUGAUGGGAUAAAAGAAGCACGCUGUGGAAUCGAACCACAAUCUUUUUCCUUACAUGGCGAAAGUCGAGAGUGAAAAUCUAGACUCGAUAGAAACCUAGGGUUCCAAGUGAAACCCUAGUGCCAUCUACCCAAAGAGAAACCCCCAAAUUUUAGGGUUUCAAAUAAAAUCAAAGAUGAGAUAUCAUUGAGAGAGGCAAACAUAUGUGAUAGCAAACACAUUGAUUCAAAGGCAUGCUUGAGAAAAUCUUGGAAUUCAAAGCAGAUCUCAGAAGUUUAAACAAAGGAUUUAAGAGCAAUAGUUAGCAGGAAUAUCAAAAACACUCAUUAAAAUGAAAUAAAAUCAAAGAGUACAAACAUAUGACAAAGAGUAAGGAACAAAUAACCUAGUUAAUAUGUGAGCAAGGAACAACAAAAAGAUCUUGCAAAUCCAAGAAAGAAAUGAGAAAACAAACUUGAGCACAGUAAGAAAUAAAUAAGCGAGUAACACACAUAAGAGAGAGAGAGAAAAGGAGUCAGAAAACAUUUACAAAAGCAUUUUCCAAAAACCCUAAAUUCGGAUUCGAACAAUUUUUGAAAAGAAAAUUUUGGGGAACAACCCUAAAACGUCUAUUGAAGACCAAACACGUAAAAAAUCUGAAAGAAAUAGACGAGUGAAGAACCUUGGAAGGUUUAAUAUGGCAGAGAAUACCCUAGGAUGAGAACGUCUUGAGGAAAGUCGGAUCCUGAGUCAGAAAGACUCAUAUUUCUCUAAACACGCCGAGAAUGGUCAGAGAGGCCAUAGAUCUUGCAGAUUUGAGGCAGAUCUAAAGGAAACCAUGUAUGUCGGCCUCCGAGAUUUUGUUAAUUUAGGUCUAACAGCGAGGGAGAGUGGGUAUAGGCUGUCCAUGGCUAGGGUUGCCAUGGAUUCCGGUGGAUAUGAGACGACAGUAAGUGGAAUAGGGCUAGGGUUUCAGAGAUGAUUAGAGAAGAUUUGGGAUGUUA
rnacentral:lncRNA from 1 species